UCCUGGCUAGUUCAAUCAAUAGAGUGUGUGACUCUUAGCAGUACACAAUCACAAGGUUGUGGGUUAGACCCCCGCGUCGGGUU